rnacentral:rRNA from 1 species
UACAGAGGUCCCAAGCGUUGUUCGGAUUCACUGGGCGUAAAGGGUGCGUAGGUGGUGGGGUAAGUCGGAUGUGAAAGCUCGGAGCUCAACUCCGAAAUGGCAUUGGAAACUACCCUGCUAGAGGAUUGGAGGGGGGACUGGAAUACUUGGUGUAGCAGUGAAAUGCGUAGAUAUCAAGUGGAACACCAGUGGCGAAGGCGAGUCCCUGGACAAUACCUGACACUGAGGCACGAAGGCCAGGGGAGCAAACGGG